rnacentral:rRNA from 1 species
AGGAGUUUGAUCCUGGCCCAGAACGAACGCCAGCCAUCCGCUCAACACACGCAAGUCGGACGUGGCACGGUUGGUGGGGGUCCCGAAACCGCCCGGGCGUCACUGGUUGGAUCAUUGAUGGGGGGGGCAUGCACGUGCGUGGACCCACUGGCCCCGCGGAGGCGCACACGCUAGGGGUGGGGUGCCUCGUGGCAAACGGGUGCAUAUGGCGUGGGUAUCUGCCUCGCAGCGUGGGCCCAUUGCACCGAUGGUGAAAGCCAAGAAGGCGUUGCCCGAGAGGAGCCCGCGUCGUACCAGGCGGCCGGUGAGUUCGGUAAAGGCCCACCGAGCCGAUGAUGCGUGGCUGGUCUCUUCGGGGAUGAUCAGCCACACCGGGACCGAGAGACGGCCCGGGCUGAUUCCGAGGCAGCAGCGGGGGAUAUCGGGCACCGGGCCCGCGCCCGACCCAGCAAUGUCGCGUGAGUGAUGACGGGCAUGGCUUGUAAAGCCCCAUACUCGGCCGAGUAUCCCGCACCGGCCGAGCAAGCCCCGGCCAACCCCGUGCCAGCAGCCGCGGUAAGACGGGGGGGGCGAGUGUUAUUCGGAGUGAGCAGGCGUGAAGGGCACGCGGGCGGUGAUCAUUGGUCUACCGGGUGGGGACUGAAACCCGCCCCCGACGAGCGGCAUGGUCUCCAAAGCCCAGUCGCUGGAGUCCGAGAGAGGAGAGUGGAAUGCCGUGUGGAGCGACCAUAUACAGAGAGAUGCGGGGGAACGCCACUCGCGAAGGCUGCUCUCUCUCCCGGGACUGACGCUGAGGUGCGAAAGCGUGGGGAGCCAACAGGAUUAGACGGAUCCGGCCGGGUGCUCCAGAACCGGGCAUCUCCCGGCCGGGGUGUCCGAUGCGACCAUGGUCACAGACGAUGGGGUCCUCCCGGCUAUACCGGGGAGAGGCGCCCGCCACCACGGAGAGGAUGGGUCGACCGCGAGGGCGUGCGCGGACCGGGUGCGACGGGCCGGAGGGAGAGGUCGAUCGGCCGCCCCCGGAGACUCUUCCGGCCGGGGAUAAACCCACGACGCACGGUCCUCCACCCCGUAGAGACUAUGCACGUGGGGGAGAAGGCAGCAGCGGCACGACGGGCGGUGGGUUUUCCUCUCGUUUCGGCUCCUCCCCUUAGGAGGGUCAAUCCGGGGCCGUGUGCGAUGAUCCGCCGGGUCGAGUCGAUCGUCCGUAUCCACUGUCCCUAAGAUGAGCACCCCCUUGGCCGUGUGACCCGAGACAGAGAGGCAUGGGCGGAAACCAGAGCAGACUGCGGGGUCUUCCCCCAUGAUGACCAUCGACCGACGCAACUACGGUCGGGAGCAGACGAGGGCGGGACGGGGGUAUGGGGCGGAGUGCGGGAGCCGGCAGGGGCUGGUGCUGUGAUGGAGUGCGGGGUUGGCGUCGGGGAGGUAAGGGGGGGGCGGCUUUGCCUCCGCGGGAAGGCCAGAAGCGCGGUAUCGGAUACGGGUUUCUGGGCAGGACGACUGGGGCAGCCAAGCCCGUCGCGCCGGUCAUGGGCAUCUCCCGGGCAUCCUCUCCCGACCACCCAUCGAGGGGGGUGUUGGUCUCUGAGCCCGGCUCCACGGCACCCUGCUAAGGGUGGAGCAGCAGAGCGGAGCAGAGCGGAGCGGAGCAGAGCAGGGGAUCGACCCGGCGGGCGAGCCAGCCGUGCACGUACGGGGGACCGCCUCUCCACGAACCAACCCACGCCCCCGCUCGGCGGUUUCGGCGGGCACGAUCAACGACAGGGGCCGGCCCGGUUUUGUGCCGGUUCGGGCCGGGCGGGCCCGCCUGAGUAGUCGGUGGGUGGUCCGCCCAUGCCCCCCGGCAAUCGAUAUCGGGAUCGUCGUGCCCGGGCCGAGCGGCUGGAGUUGGUAUGGGGGGGCCCGAAGAGAAGACCGGCUUGUUCGAUCGGCCGAAGAAGGGGCGGGCUUUCCGGGGCAUGGGCGCGACAACGGGGAAGAAGGAAGAGACCGCCCCCGAAGAGGCCCGUCGACCCACACUGCGGCUCGCUGUGCUGGCUGCACCCCAGCCAAAGCAGAGAACACCGCGAAAACCAUGCCCGAUGGGGCAUGGCUCUCUGGCCGGGGUAUGCCACCGACGGGGGGGCGAUCGGUUGUUCCGGCGCACCCGCGGAGCGGGCAGUCCUCCCCUCCGGAUAGGGAGGUCGAGACACGGGCGACGGGCGUCAUGAUCGUGUCACGAGCGCAGAGGCCAUCAUCCCCAGCGCCUGGCCCGCCUUCCGACCACUCCCGAUCGUGCGUUGGGCUGGAGUGGGGCUUGUAGCUCCCCACGGUGGGCUUUUCCUCUGUUCUGGCAUGCUGGGGCGGCUCUCUUCGGUGGUGUGUCAGUGUGCUUUCGGGGUGCUGCCCCUGACACCUCUUCUUUUCGCCUAUCCCCCGUUCGGGGGUGGUCGAGAGGAAGGAGGUCCUGCGAUUGGUUCCACUUGCUGCAGAACAGCUCCCCCCCCGAUGCACGGACCCGGAUCUCCCCGCCGCAGAGGCACGCAGUGGUUUGUGGCGGGCGGGGAAUGAGAGAGCCCAUGCUGUAUCGGAGUGGGACCCGGCGAACAACCCCGCGCCCUGUUACGGGCGGGAUGAAUCACAGACGACCCUGUACCGGAUAGAGCCGGUGCUGCCGUUCGGGCAUAUCAGUGUGACCCUGGUAGUCCACGCCGUCAACGAUGAGGGUUUUCGCCCGUGGUCGAGGUUGUUCUUCGACACCCCGGGCGUCCGAUCGGGGGCCUAGCUAACGCGUCAAGCACUCCGCCUGGGGAGUACCAUCGCAAGAUGGAAACUCAAAGGAAUUGACGGGGGCCUGCGCAAACGGUUGGAGCAUGUGGUUUAAUUCGAUACUACGCGCAGAACCUUACCGCCCCUUGACAUGCUGCCCACGGCCGGCUGCGCAGUGGGCCCGGGGUGCACUGGUGCUGCAUGCCUGUCGUCAGCUCGUGUCGUGAGAUGGGUAAAGCCCGGGAACGAGCGCAACCCCCACCCGGUAACCCCGCCCGGUGAACCCGAUGCCUCCGGGACGCGCCGACAAUGACGCCUCGGGUGCUGCCCGGUCGGGGGUUUUUCGGGGCACCUGAAACCCCAUGAUCCGCGCCCUCUCCUCACGUGCGUCUGGCCCACCCCCUUCCAUGGGCCCGGGUGCGCCCUCCGCGGCCCUCCGGGUACUUACCGGGGACGGCCAUCGAGAGCGUGGGGGAGGGAGAGGGGAUCACGUCAAGUCCGCAUGGCCCCCAUGGGUGUGGGCUACACACGUGCUGCAACGGCGUCCACAGUGGGGAGCCCGCCCGCUCUGGGGUAGCUGAUCCGCACCAAAGGUAGCCAAAUCGUUCGGAUGGUCACCCGCAGCUCGGUCACCUGCAGAGGGAAUCGCCAGUAAUCGCGGAUCACGAUAAUCGCGGUGAAUCCGUACUCGGGCCCUGUACACACCGCCCGUCACACCCUGGAAGGCGAACCCCCCCUACUCUCCGCAUCGCUCUCCCCCGCCCUCCAGUCGCCCAUGCGGUUGCGGUCCAUGUGCGGGGGGGGGACGGUCGAGGAUCACGGUGGGUCGACUGACUGUGGUGAAGUCGUAACAAGGUAGCCGUAGGGGAACCUGCGGCCGGAUUGAAUCC